rnacentral:lncRNA from 10 species
GGGUUCUGGAGGCCCUGGGACCGCGGAAGAGGCUUCAGACGCUGCAGCGAUGCCUCGCCCACGGCGGGUCAGUCAGCUCCUGGAUCUAUGCCUUUGGUGCUUCAUGAAGAAUAUUUCCAGAUAUCUCACAGACAUUAAGCCUUUGCCUCCCAACAUAAAAGACAGACUGAUUAAAAUAAUGAGUAUGCAGGGACAGAUAACAGAUUCAAAUAUAAGUGAGGGUCAUGCUCCGUUGCCCAGGCUGGAGUACAGUGGUGCAAUCUCAGCUCACUGCAACCUCCGCUGCCUGGACUUAGGUGAUCCCUCUUCAGCCUCCUGAGUAGUUGGGACUAUAGGUGUACACCACCAUGCCUGGCUAAUUUUUGCAUUUUUUGUAGAGACAGGGUUUCACCAUGUUGCCCAGGCUGGUCUCGAACUCCGGAGCUCAAGU